rnacentral:tRNA from 1 species
GUUAAGAUGGCAGAGCCCGGCAAUUGCGUAAAACUUAAAACUUUAUAACCAGAGGUUCAACUCCUCUUCUUAACA